GGGGGGCCAGUGGCACCACAGAGCUGCCUAAACCCAUGGAGGGAAACGUGGCCUUCCUGGAAAGACGGGGCCACUGGAUGACAGACGCUGCCACAUCUUCCUAGGGGAUGCUCAGCCCACCUUCCACUCCCACAGCCUGGCUCUGGACACUGGCGAGGCAGCAAGCGGCCGUGGGAGGUGCCUUGGGCAGGGGCAGGCUGCCUUGUGGGGACAGCCACUGGGCUUGGAGGCCACACAGAUCGUUCUGUGUGACACCAAGCAUGUUGCCUGACCUUUCUGGGCCUCAGCUUCCUUUUCAGUGGAGGAAGGGGUAGCUAGACACAUCUUCAAGUGCAAAGGAGAUUUAGGCCAGCCUCAGGGGCUCCCACCUGUAAUCCCA
rnacentral:lncRNA from 1 species